AUCACUUUCCUGCCUUGUGGCUAAGGUCGAGUGUAGUGUCUGCUCUUACCAGGUUAAUGUCUGAUAUGUCCUCUAUCUGAGGACAAUAUAGUAAAUGGAUUUUUGGAGCUGGGUGAUGGAACAGCAGCUUGCUGUGUCCGGGACAUUCAUUGACCUGGUGUUGCAGCAGCCCAGGAAUGGUGCCCCCACG